rnacentral:rRNA from 1 species
ACAGAGGGUGCAAGCGUUAAUCGGAAUUACUGGGCGUAAAGCGUGCGUAGGUGGUCUUUUAAGCUGGAUGUGAAAUCCCCGGGCUUAACCUGGGAACUGCAUUCAGGACUGGAAGACUCGAGUCUGGGAGAGGGUGGUGGAAUUUCCGGUGUAGCGGUGAAAUGCGUAGAUAUCGGAAGAACACCAGUGGCGAAGGCGACUUACUGGACGAUUGUUGACGCUGAGGUGCGAAAGCGUGGGGAGCAAACAGGA